AUGUCUUACUUGGGAUCCCCUCCCACCAACCAAAUCUCUGACCACCUCCCUCAUUCUGCGCACCGCCCAAAAUCGCUGCAGCCUCGAUCGAGAGCCUCCUCCUCCCUCUUCGAUCCAGAGGAGUGGACCUCCUCUGUGCCCUCACCUGCGCCCCUUCCUCCUUCCCCGUGCACUUUCCCCUCUCUCUUCAUCGCUCCCUUGUCUCUGUUCGUCAACAGGAGACCCAUGGGCGCCCGAACCACUCGAAGCUCCAAGCCCCGCCGCUGCUGCUUCCGUUUCGCCUGUCUCGCGCCCACUCCCCUCGCGGCUCCGUCGGAAGCUGCUCCAUCGCCGCGCCAAGUCCCUCUGCAUGAGCCGCGCCUGUCCAUUGCUGCUCCUCUUCGUCGCCCCGCCAAGUCCGGACGCCAUGGCCGCUGGAGUUCCUCCACGCCGGCCUGCUACCUCACUCCCCUGCCGUCUCCGGCACCGCGCCGGCGAGCGCCACUGCCGGAGCACCAGUAG
rnacentral:rRNA from 1 species